GGGAGUCUGAGCGGCCUCACUGAGGUGACAAGACAGGCCAGAAUGACAAGAGGGACCAACCCUGCACAAAUCUGCGGGGAGAGUGCCAGGGAGAAGGCACAGCUGGUGCACAGACUUGGAGUGUGACCUGGACCUGGAUGAGAAUUGCACGGUGCAGAUCAUCAAGGCAGACAUGCUGGAGAAGCUGGUGGCGCACCUAGUGCCCGCCUUCCUGAGGUGUGACCUCUCCUACAUCUGUACCUUUCUGGGCACCUACAGAACAGUCACCACCACCUAGCAGGUCCUGGACCUGUUCUUCUUCAGUGCCAUCUCCUUCAUCCUGGGCUAGAAGAGUACUCAGAGGAUUUCGAUCAGCUUCCGGACUUCCUCCUCCUCAAGGUGCUGAUGGCCUACGCUCAGCUGAACAUGCCAGAAUCAGUCCUGGAGUACCAUGCUUGCCUGCUCCUUACCCAGCUGGAGUACCCAGAGCCCACUGAGAUAGGGCCAGAGGGUGAGGAUGGUUGUGGAUGCAUGUGAGCACGUGUGCAGGGAUGCAGGGCUGGGCUACACAGGAAGGAGUCUCCAGAGGGUGGUGUUGGGCCAGAGCUCAGAAUAACCUCAGACCACUCAUCUGGUGGACUGCAGCCUGGGAAAACUUUCUGGAGAGGAAAAGUUCUUGGGGUUGGGCUUCUAUUAGUGGCAGUAAAAAUUUUUCAUCUUUGGAAAGGCACAAGGAAAGACCAUUGUGUUAGCGAACUUUUCUUGCAUCUCCAGUACAACUCUAACCUCCAGAACCCACUCAAGAUCCACCUUAUGUGUCCCCUCUGGAACCCGCUCCACAUUCAGGUCAAGUGUUGACUCUGGAACUCAUUCCAGGUCAAUGCCAAGUGUCGCCUUCAGAAAAUGCUCCAGAUCCAUGUCAAGUGUUGCCUCUGGAAAACGCUCCAGAUCAACAUGAAGAUUCACCCCCAGAACCUGCUCCAGGUCCACCUUCAGUGUCACCUCUGGAAUCUGCUUCAGAUACAUGUUGAGUGUUGCCUUCGAAACAUGCUCCAGAUCCACCUCUAGAAUCUCCUUUGGAACAGACUCCACAUCCAUGUCAAGUGUUGUCUCUGGCACAUGCUCCAGAUCUGUGUCAAGCAUCACCUCCAGAACACACUCCAGAGCCACAUGAAGAUUCACUUCUGGAACCCAAUCCAGAUCCACAUGAAGAUUCACCUCCAGAGCUUGCUCCAGGUCUACAUCGAGCAUUGUGUCCGAAAUCUACUCCAGACCCACAUGAAAAUUUACUCCUGAAACCUGCUCCAGAUCCACAUGAAGAUUCACUGGCGGAGUCUGCUUCAGAUCCACAUCGAGCAUCACCUCUAGAAGCUGCUUCUGAUGCACACCAACUGUAGCCUCUGGAGCAUGCUCCAUGUCCACGUGAAGAUUCACCUCUAGACCCUACUCCAGAUCCACAUCAAGCAUCACCUCAGGAUCCUCCUCUGGAUCCACAGUGAGCUUUUCCUUUAGAACCCUCUCCAGGUCCACAUCUAGCCUUGCUUCUGGAACCUGCUCCAGAUCCACCUGGAGCAUCCCCUCUGAAACCCACUCCUAAUCUACGUUGAGUGUCACCUCUAGAACCUCCUGCCGAUCCACGAAGAGCAUUGCCUCCAGAACCCUCCCCGGAUCCUCCUCAAGUGUUUCCUCUGGAGCCCACACUCAAGGCAGAACCAGCCUCAGCGCUUCCUCCAGCAUCAGGCCCUGAGCCAAAGCAGGCAUUAGCUCAGCCCCAGAGCCUUCCUGCCCCUUACCUGAGAGGGCAUCUAUUUUAUUUUUUGGCAGUUUUUUUCCUUAUUCAACAUUUACUUUAUCAUUUAGCUAAUUUUUAGAUUUGACC